rnacentral:rRNA from 1 species
GACGAACGCUGGCGGCGUGCUUAACACAUGCAAGUCGAACGGAAAGGCCCUGCUUUUGUGGGGUGCUCGAGUGGCGAACGGGUGAGUAACACGUGAGUAACCUGCCCUUGACUUUGGGAUAACUUCAGGAAACUGGGGCUAAUACCGGAUAGGAGCUCCUGCUGCAUGGUGGGGGUUGGAAAGUUUCGGCGGUUGGGGAUGGACUCGCGGCUUAUCAGCUUGUUGGUGGGGUAGUGGCUUACCAAGGCUUUGACGGGUAGCCGGCCUGAGAGGGUGACCGGCCACAUUGGGACUGAGAUACGGCCCAGACUCCUACGGGAGGCAGCAGUGGGGAAUAUUGCACAAUGGGCGGAAGCCUGAUGCAGCAACGCCGCGUGCGGGAUGACGGCCUUCGGGUUGUAAACCGCUUUCGCCUGUGACGAAGCGUGAGUGACGGUAAUGGGUAAAGAAGCACCGGCUAACUACGUGCCAGCAGCCGCGGUGAUACGUAGGGUGCGAGCGUUGUCCGGAUUUAUUGGGCGUAAAGGGCUCGUAGGUGGUUGAUCGCGUCGGAAGUGUAAUCUUGGGGCUUAACCCUGAGCGUGCUUUCGAUACGGGUUGACUUGAGGAAGGUAGGGGAGAAUGGAAUUCCUGGUGGAGCGGUGGAAUGCGCAGAUAUCAGGAGGAACACCAGUGGCGAAGGCGGUUCUCUGGGCCUUUCCUGACGCUGAGGAGCGAAAGCGUGGGGAGCGAACAGGCUUAGAUACCCUGGUAGUCCACGCUGUAAACGGUGGGUACUAGGUGUGGGGUCCAUUCCACGGGUUCCGUGCCGUAGCUAACGCUUUAAGUACCCCGCCUGGGGAGUACGGCCGCAAGGCUAAAACUCAAAGGAAUUGACGGGGCCCCGCACAAGCGGCGGAGCAUGCGGAUUAAUUCGAUGCAACGCGUAGAACCUUACCUGGGUUUGACAUGGAUCGGGAGCGCUCAGAGAUGGGUGUGCCUCUUUUGGGGUCGGUUCACAGGUGGUGCAUGGCUGUCGUCAGCUCGUGUCGUGAGAUGUUGGGUUAAGUCCCGCAACGAGCGCAACCCUUGUUCACUGUUGCCAGCACGUUAUGGUGGGGACUCAGUGGAGACCGCCGGGGUCAACUCGGAGGAAGGUGGGGAUGACGUCAAGUCAUUAUGCCCCUUAUGUCCAGGGCUUCACGCAUGCUACAAUGGCUGGUACAGAGAGUGGCGAGCCUGUGAGGGUGAGCGAAUCUCGGAAAGCCGGUCUCAGUUCGGAUUGGGGUCUGCAACUCGACCUCAUGAAGUCGGAGUCGCUAGUAAUCGCAGAUCAGCAACGCUGCGGUGAAUACGUUCCCGGG